rnacentral:rRNA from 1 species
GACGAACGCUGGCGGCGUGCUUAACACAUGCAAGUCGAACGAUGAAGCCCAGCUUGCUGGGUGGAUUAGUGGCGAACGGGUGGGUAACACGUGAGUAACCUGCCCUUGACUCUGGGAUAAGCGCUGGAAACGGCGUCUAAUACCGGAUACGACCUGCCCCGGCAUCGGGUGCGGGUGGAAAGUUUUUCGGUCAAGGAUGGACUCGCGGCCUAUCAGGUAGUUGGUGAGGUAAUGGCUCACCAAGCCGACGACGGGUAGCCGGCCUGAGAGGGUGACCGGCCACACUGGGACUGAGACACGGCCCAGACUCCUACGGGAGGCAGCAGUGGAGAAUAUUGCACAAUGGGCGAAAGCCUGAUGCAGCAACGCCGCGUGGGGGAUGACGGCCUUCGGGUUGUAAACCUCUUUUAGUAGGGAAGAAGGGCUUCGGCUUGACGGUACCUGCAGAAAAAGCACCGGCUAACUACGUGCCAGCAGCCGCGGUAAUACGUAGGGUGCAAGCGUUGUCCGGAAUUAUUGGGCGUAAAGAGCUCGUAGGCGGUUUGUCGCGUCUGCUGUGAAAACCCGAGGCUCAACCUCGGGCCUGCAGUGGGUACGGGCAGACUAGAGUGCGGUAGGGGAGAAUGGAAUUCCUGGUGUAGCGGUGGAAUGCGCAGAUAUCAGGAGGAACACCGAUGGCGAAGGCAGUUCUCUGGGCCGUUACUGACGCUGAGGAGCGAAAGCGUGGGGAGCGAACAGGAUUAGAUACCCUGGUAGUCCACGCCGUAAACGUUGGGAACUAGAUGUGGGGACCUUUCCACGGUCUCCGUGUCGCAGCUAACGCAUUAAGUUCCCCGCCUGGGGAGUACGGCCGCAAGGCUAAAACUCAAAGGAAUUGACGGGGGCCCGCACAAGCGGCGGAGCAUGCGGAUUAAUUCGAUGCAACGCGAAGAACCUUACCAAGGCUUGACAUAUACCGGAAACUUCCAGAAAUGGUUGCCCCGCAAGGUCGGUAUACAGGUGGUGCAUGGUUGUCGUCAGCUCGUGUCGUGAGAUGUUGGGUUAAGUCCCGCAACGAGCGCAACCCUCGUUCUAUGUUGCCAGCACGUCAUGGUGGGAACUCAUAGGAGACUGCCGGGGUCAACUCGGAGGAAGGUGGGGAUGACGUCAAAUCAUCAUGCCCCUUAUGUCUUGGGCUUCACGCAUGCUACAAUGGCCGGUACAAAGGGCUGCGAUACCGUAAGGUGGAGCGAAUCCCAAAAAGCCGGUCUCAGUUCGGAUUGAGGUCUGCAACUCGACCUCAUGAAGUCGGAGUCGCUAGUAAUCGCAGAUCAGCAACGCUGCGGUGAAUACGUUCCCGGGCCU